AUAGUACUGUGAAGGAAAGGUGAAAAGCACCCCGGGAGGGGAGUGAAAGAGAACCUGAAACCCUGUGCUUACAAGCACUUAGAGCACGUCAAAGUGUGAUAAGGUACCUAUUGUAGAAUGGUCCGGCGAGUUAUUGUAUGCAGCGAGGUUAAGUAGUUCAGCUACGGAGCCGAAGUGAGAGCGAGUGUUAACAGCACGUUCAGUUGUAUGCAAUAGACCCGAAACCGGGUGACCUAUCCAUGUCCAGGAUGAAGUGAGGGUAAAACCUCAUGGAGGUCCGAACCCACUCCCGUUGAAAUGGUAGGGGAUGAGGUGUGGAUAGCGGAGAAAUUCCAAUCGAACCCGGAUAUAGCUGGUUCUCCCCGAAAUAGUUUUAGGACUAGCCUCGUGAUUAAGAUUAUCGGAGGUAAAGCACUGAAUGGCCUAGGGGUCGAGAGAUUACCGAAGCCUAUCAAACUCUGAAUGCCGAAUAAUCAUGCACGGGAGUCAGACUGUGUGAGAUAAGUUUCAUAGUCGAAAGGGAAACAGCCCAGACCUACAGCUAAGGUCCCAAAGUACGUUUAAGUGGAAAACGAUGUGAAAUUGCGUAGACAACCAGGAUGUUGGCUUAGAAGCAGCCAUACAUUAAAAGAGUGCGUAAUAGCUCACUGGUCGAGUGACUUUGCGCGGAAAAUUUAACGGGGCUAAAACGUACACCGAAGCUUAGGCUUGUCACUAUGUGACAGGGGUAGGGGAGCGUUGAAUGAGGGGUGAAGUCGUAGCGGAAGCGACGGUGGACUUCAUUCAAGUGAGAAUGCCGGAAUGAGUAGCGAGAAUUAUGUGAGAAUCAUAAUGGCCGAAAGCCUAAGGUUUUUGGAGGAAGGUUCGUCCGCUCCAAGUAAGUCGGAAGCUAAGGUGAGGCUGAAAAGCGUAGCCGAUGCACAAACGGUUGAAAUUCCGUUACCACAGAAAGAUUUAAACUAAGGGACACUUUUGAAGAGCUGAUGCCGGGUGUUGGUUACCCCGGUCGUAAGGGAACGAAAUUAAGUAGUGAAGUCAGCGUGGAUGAAGGCGAGAAAAGCUUGGUGUAUAUCUUAUGUGUCCGUACCGCAAACCGACACAGGUAGGUAGGAAGAGAAUUCUAAGGCCAACGGGAGAAGGGUAGUUAAGGAACUCGGCAAAAUGUCCCCGUAACUUCGGAAUAAGGGGAGGUUUCUACGGAAACCCGCAGAGAAUAGUCCCAGGCAACUGUUUAUCAAAAACACAGCUCUAUGCUAAAUCGAAAGAUGACGUAUAUGGGGUGACGCCUGCCCGGUGCCGGAAGGUUAAGAGGAGGAGUGAGAGCCCUGAAUCGAAGCCCCGGUAAACGGCGGCCGUAACUAUAACGGUCCUAAGGUAGCGAAAUUCCUUGUCAGGU
rnacentral:rRNA from 1 species